ensembl:lncRNA
UCAAUAUUUAACAUGGCAAUGUUCAGUUUUUCACCCUCCCUCAUUUCUCCGUCACCUGCUAACAUCACCCUCCUUUGGACAAUUUACUGUCCAACCAUCCAGAGUCUACGCACUCAGUGUAUGUCUCGUGGUGGGGUACGCACUCACACUUGACAUUUGAGCAAGACAUUUAGGAACGAAGGGAAGUACAGAGCGUUUUCUUGGGAGAGACUGGGAUUGUUUUGGGAGUAUAUGUUUUUUUCAUGUUUUCUCUGACAGCAUGGAGUACUGCACUUUGAAAGGAUUCCUGGUGGUUUUGCUGAUACAACACUGCAAGUCUGAAGAUCUGUCUACCUCCAUCCAAUCCUCCACUGCGGUCGCCCACCAAGAUGGCCAGAGCUUACCCCAGGAUCCAGAGUUGCCCCCCGCAGAAGUGGUACCAGUAGCGUCCCCUCCUAGCCUGAAGGAGGUGCAGCAGGCCGUGCAGGAGGCAUCAGAGCAGGUGGAGGGUCGUGGGGCUGAGGAAGUGCUGAAGGAGCUGCUGGAGAGAGUGGUGGAGGCAGCUCUGGGACAGGCGGAAGCAGGGAACGACGCAAAAGCGGAUGUAGUGCAGGAAGCGGUUGAGGAGGAUUCACUGGGGACAAAAUCAAAAGAGAGUGAAGCUGAGGUAGAAGUGCUAGAGGAGGCAGUGGAGGAUGAAGAUAUGGGGGACAAGGAGGAAGAUACCGGUGUUGAAGAGAAGCAGGAGGUAGCAGAGGUGGAUGCACUUGAAGAUGUGGCCGAGGAGGGGAAAGGAGUUGUCGAGGCAGAGGGUGAAACAGCAGCUGGAUCUGUGGAGAAGACCACAGCCGCUGUAGAAACUGAAGUCAGACAGACAGAGGGUGUGGAGGUUAUCGAUGAGUCGCUGGGAAGUGAGGAGGAGGUUGUGGAAGGAGCUGUGGCUGCUUUAGAAGAGAAAGGAGGGGAUUUGGCCAUAGAGGAGGCAGGGGAGGAGGACAGCGAGGAUCAGGUCGUGUUGUCUGAAGAAAAAGGAGCAGCUGAAACAGAAAUACAGGAAGCAGAGGAAGCCCCAGCUGCUGUAGAGGUGGCAGUAAUUGGACAGCCAGAUCAGGAGACUGUGGAAGAGUCUGAACCAUGGCUAGGAGAGGCUGACGUGGAGCAGAUAGGGCAUGAUGGGUCGAGAGAAGAGGCUCUGGGGGAUGAAACUCAGGUAGAUGAAACAGAACGUGAAGAGAUAAUAGUGCCUUCUGAUAAUUAUGACAUAGAAGCCACACAAAGUGUAGUAGGAGAUACAGGAGAGGAGGAGGAAGAGGAAGAAAACAUAGUAAUGGAUCCUGAAGGGCCAGAAGGAGAAGAUGGGUAUUUAGUGGAGGGAGGAACUGCAGAAGAGGAAGAAGCAGAAGGUACAGAUGUAGGGGAAGUAACAGGAGAUGAAAUAGAAGGAGAGAGUGUAAUCAAGGAGGAAUCGGUGGUAUUGGUGAAUGAGGAAAGCGUUCAAAAAGCAGGGGAGGAGGAGCAGAUUGCUUUGGAGACUUCAAACGGUGGUGAAAAGGAGGAUGAAGAAGUGGUCUCAGAGCCUGCGGAUGGUGAAGAAGCCUCAAUGGAGCAGAGCCCUGAGAACCAGGCUCCCACCUCAAACCCAUCCCUCAGUGAGGUGGAAACUGGAGAAAACACUCCUGAUGAGGAGAAGUCAGACCACGGCAACGAGAUCAUCACCACCACCGAUGACCUUUUGCCACAGGAGUCCUCUGUGGCUCAACCUACACUAGAUAAUUUCAUGAAUGGUGUUCUAGGUGAACAACCCGAGGCACAAGGAGAGGAACUAGGAGAGGCCAAUGAGCUGGUAGAAGAUACAGCUGGAACUACAGAGACAAAUGAGCUAGGCCUGGAGGCAUGGAAGAUAGGGGCUAUUUCCGCUGCAGUGUUCUUGGUUUUGGAGACUGUUGUCAUCAUUAUCUAUAUCCUCAAAUGUCGCAACAAAAACAGUACCCCGGCCCUACAGCGGGCAUGCGAAGAAGGGUGUGUUGAACCAGAGGCAGCUACAGGAGGUGACUGCAGUGACGACACACUGCCUGCAGGCAAUGGAGACACUCAACAGAUAGCCACGCUUGACCCGUCUGAUGUGGCUUCGACCCUGGCCACAACAAAGGAGAAGCAAGGAGACGAGCAUGCGAUAGCCAUGUCAGGCCUCCCGCCCGGCUCCACAGAGGAGUCAGCCAACACUGGACCAGGACCAGACUCUUCACAAGACCUCAGGACUUCCAUCCUCUAGGGGGUCCAAAUGUUUGUCUGUUCCUGCUGCGUCUAAAUGGAACCCAAAAAGGCCACUUUCCAAGCCUGCACCCAAUCCCAAAUCACCUAGUUACCCUAAAUUCUCAAACCCAACACAGACUGCCUUGGAGUCAAACUGUAAUAACUAGUGCACAUGUAUCGCAUUUAUAUUUGGUGUAUAUGUCUGUUUAUUUGUCUGUCUGUCUGUCUGUCUGUGUGUGCAUGUAACGUGAGCGAAAGAGAUACUGUAACACAUUUUGCAUGUAUGAAUAUGUGGAUGAGUGAACAGGAAGAGCAUGUUUUAAAAUACUCUGUGCAAGUGUGAGUGUGGAAAUGUGAUAAAACUGUUCUGUAUUUAGUUUGAUGUCUGUAAACUCUUUAGGCUGAAAUGGAAUUUUUUCACACUGACCACUUCAGUCAUGCUGUUCAAAGUUGUUGAAAAGAACACAGCAGGAGCAGCGACAAUAAGCAAUUUUCCUGUUUUAAUGGCAAUUCAGUACAGUGUGUUCACAAAGUGCUGGCAGUACCACAGAGUGCUAUAUCUGAGCAGUCUCAUUAAACUGUACAACACUGGCCUACGAGGAAAAGAAAGAAAAAAAACAAGAUUUUUCAUUACUGAGAUGGAUUUUAAAAUUUUAUUUGAUUUUUAUUCUACAUAACUCUUGACCUUUGUAUCAUCAUUUGUGAUUUGAGCAAUACAAAAUAAAGAGAUAAUAUUGAAAA